GAACUGCUGAGGAGUCCCACGAUAGGACGAAACGGCUGUCUAGUGU
rfam:Schistosoma margrebowiei strain Zambia genome assembly, scaffold: SMRZ_scaffold0001630